UUGGGUGAGCUAAAUUGUCCUUAGUGUAUGUGUGUGUGUGAAUGGGAGUGGAUGGGUGUAAGCCAAACGUUUUCUAGUGUUACAACAGUGAUCAUUUUCCUACCUCAGUUAUUUUACGCAUAUAUUAAACUGACUAUGUAUGUAGAACUUUUAUUUUGAAAUCAGGAGCCUUCAAAUAGUUUACUGUGCGUUACUGGGUAACGACAGCACCAGGACUGUUCACAAACUCGCCUCUGGACGCAAAAUGUAGGAUUUACUGAUUACAGAUGUAUUCAUCUCCACUCUGAAGAGGCAUGAGGUUCUCUGUAUGCGUGAAUGCUGAACUCCUUCUUCCCAGAGUCGGCUGCAGGACGCUUCAUGCUGAGGGUUCAUGCCGAGGGUUUGGAGAUUUGACCUUUUCCACACUGAGUCUGGAAGGUUCUGAUAGAGCUCUCUCCUCCUGAUAACAAAUUAUCUUCAUUAAGACAGCAUCAGUCUCACACAAGCCGGAAAUGAAGGCGUCUCUUCACCAGCACUUCAUUAGACAUGCUAUCUCAUGCUCCCUGAUUCUUUCUGAGAGCCUCAAUUUGGAUCAACACUGUCGUCUCUGCCAGACACAGCAAAACCAGGACAAGACAAAACAGCCAAAGAACAAAAUCCAACCGGAUGACUUACACAACCAAUAGAGCUUCAUUUGAAAUGCAUGCACUUCAGAACAUGGCAGAAAAAAGAAAGAAUACGACAAUAGCCUAAAAAAAUAAACCCUCAGCUCUGAAUCUGCCAUAGGAAACGAUCUGCAUAUAAUAGACAUGAGUCGUGCAUGAAAUCACAUUGUUAUGUGGGGAGAUUUGGUUUCAGUCCUGCAUGAUAUGUGCACACAGCUGUGUGUGGAUCUGCACAUGUCUGUGCUGAAUGUGAAAUUCAAUCCAGAGGCAAUUUUUAGACACAGCACAACUCUCCAGAAAUAACAAUGCACCAAACUAGAGAGACAUUACAAGAAAUACAAUAGUUGGACCCAAAUGUAAAAUAAAAUAAAAUAAAAUAAAAUUAAAUUAAAUUAAAUUAAAUUAAAUUAAAUUAAAUUAAAUUAAAUUAAAUUAAACGUAACACUUUAAAUUUAUGGUCAAUUAGUUCAAGUUAGGUAAUGUUAACAUGGACUUAGUUCAAGUUAGGUAAUGUUAACAUGAACGUAAUAUUAAUAAUACAUUUAUUACUGUAUUUAUUCCUCUUUGUUAACGUUAAUUAGUUAGUUAGUUAGUU